ensembl:snRNA U6 U6 spliceosomal RNA
GUGCUCACCUUGGCUGCACAUAUACUAAAAUUGAAACAAUACAGAGAAGAUUGGCAUGGUUCCAGUGAAAGACAUGCAAAUCUGUGUAACAGCCAUACUUUUG